rnacentral:rRNA from 1 species
UACGUAGGUGGCAAGCGUUGUCCGGAAUUAUUGGGCGUAAAGCGCGCGCAGGCGGUCCUUUAAGUCUGAUGUGAAAGCCCACGGCUCAACCGUGGAGGGUCAUUGGAAACUGGGGGACUUGAGUACAGAAGAGAAGAGUGGAAUUCCACGUGUAGCGGUGAAAUGCGCAGAUAUCAGGAGGAACACCAAUGGCGAAGGCAGCUCGCUGGGACGGUACUGACGCUGAGACGCGAAAGCGUGGGGAGCAAACAGG